AGAAAAACUUGGAACUUUCAAAAGCAUACCAGAACUUCCUCAAUCUUGUUUAAAGAAUUUGAGAGAAGAACUCCUCAAGGUCAUUUGCGACCACUCCAAGUUUUCGAGAAAAAAUUGCAUCUUUCAGAUCAAUGUUGUUGUUCGGAUAAAUAUCGGCCGCCUUGAUUUCCAUGUACUCAUGCAGGUUGUGUAUAGUUCCAUCUUCAGCAACAAUGGCU
rnacentral:misc_RNA from 1 species